GAGAGAGGUAGCUUGCUACUGAUCUUAGCGGCGGACGGGUGAGUAAUGCUUAGGAAUCUGCCUAUUAGUGGGGGACAACAUCUCGAAAGGGAUGCUAAUACCGCAUACGUCCUACGGGAGAAAGCAGGGGAUCUUCGGACCUUGCGCUAAUAGAUGAGCCUAAGUCGGAUUAGCUAGUUGGUGGGGUAAAGGCCUACCAAGGCGACGAUCUGUAGCGGGUCUGAGAGGAUGAUCCGCCACACUGGGACUGAGACACGGCCCAGACUCCUACGGGAGGCAGCAGUGGGGAAUAUUGGACAAUGGGGGGAACCCUGAUCCAGCCAUGCCGCGUGUGUGAAGAAGGCCUUAUGGUUGUAAAGCACUUUAAGCGAGGAGGAGGCUACUUUAGAUAAUACCUAGAGAUAGUGGACGUUACUCGCAGAAUAAGCACCGGCUAACUCUGUGCCAGCAGCCGCGGUAAUACAGAGGGUGCAAGCGUUAAUCGGAUUUACUGGGCGUAAAGCGCGCGUAGGCGGCUAAUUAAGUCAAAUGUGAAAUCCCCGAGCUUAACUUGGGAAUUGCAUUCGAUACUGGUUAGCUAGAGUGUGGGAGAGGAUGGUAGAAUUCCAGGUGUAGCGGUGAAAUGCGUAGAGAUCUGGAGGAAUACCGAUGGCGAAGGCAGCCAUCUGGCCUAACACUGACGCUGAGGUGCGAAAGCAUGGGGAGCAAACAGGAUUAG
rnacentral:rRNA from 1 species